rnacentral:rRNA from 1 species
UACGUAGGGUGCGAGCGUUGUCCGGAAUUAUUGGGCGUAAAGAGCUCGUAGGCGGUCUGUCGCGUCGAUCGUGAAAACUUGGGGCUUAACCCUGAGCUUGCGGUCGAUACGGGCAUGACUGGAGUUCGGCAGGGGAGACUGGAAUUCCUGGUGUAGCGGUGAAAUGCGCAGAUAUCAGGAGGAACACCGGUGGCGAAGGCGGGUCUCUGGGCCGAAACUGACGCUGAGGAGCGAAAGCAUGGGUAGCAAACAGG